AGACUUCCAGUAUGAUAAAUUGAAAAGCACCAUUAUCUGUCUGUUGUGAAGAGGAACUGUUUGGGCUUUGAUAAGAUAUCACUACUCCCAGCAGCUGCCAAAG
rnacentral:lncRNA from 1 species